ACGAACGCUGGCGGCAGGCCUAACACAUGCAAGUCGAGCGCGCCCUUCGGGGUGAGCGGCGGACGGGUGAGUAACGCGUGGGAACGUGCCCUUUUCUACGGAAUAGCCUCGGGAAACUGAGAGUAAUACCGUAUACGCCCUUUGGGGGAAAGAUUUAUCGGAAAAGGAUCGGCCCGCGUUGGAUUAGGUAGUUGGUGGGGUAAUGGCCUACCAAGCCGACGAUCCAUAGCUGGUUUGAGAGGAUGAUCAGCCACACUGGGACUGAGACACGGCCCAGACUCCUACGGGAGGCAGCAGUGGGGAAUCUUAGACAAUGGGGGCAACCCUGAUCUAGCCAUGCCGCGCGAGUGAUGAAGGCCUUAGGGUUGUAAAGCUCUUUCAGCUGGGAAGAUAAUGACGGUACCAGCAGAAGAAGCCCCGGCUAACUCCGUG
rnacentral:rRNA from 1 species